rnacentral:rRNA from 1 species
UACGUAGGGGGCGAGCGUUGUCCGGAAUUACUGGGCGUAAAGGGCGUGUAGGCGGUUUUUUAAGUUAGAAGUGAAAACUCGAGGCUUAACCUUGAGACUGCUUCUAAAACUGGAAGACUUGAGUGCAGGAGAGGAAGGUAGUAUUCCUGGUGUAGCGGUGAAAUGCGUAGAUAUCAGGAGGAAUACUCGUGGCGAAGGCGGCCUUCUGGCCUGUAACUGACGCUGAGGCGCGAAAGCGUGGGGAGCAAACAGGAUUAGAUACCCUGGUAGUCCACGCCGUAAACGAUGAGUGCUAAGUGUUGGAGGUAUCGACCCCUUCAGUGCUGUAGUUAACGCAUUAAGCACUCCGCCUGGGGAGUACGGUCGCAAGACUGAA